UCGUACUAAGUGGCACAAAAGAGUUAAUCCCAUUCGUGUUGGAGAUGUUGUUAUUAUCUGCGAUACCAAUAAAAAUUUGCGGGAUUGGAGACGUGGAAUCGUACUGGAAACGUUCCCUGGACCAGAUGGACAAGUUAGGUCAGCGCUUAUUAAGACAUCGACGGGCAACCUAAGAAGACCCGCUUCAAAGUUAGCAGUUCUUGAUGUUUCUGGUGACCCUCAACUCGCAGAUACUCCUUCGGUUCACGGGGGGCGGGAUGUUGCUGACAAAUGUACUUAGCUUUAUGUUUCAAAGAUGUUGUUGACAAAUGUACUCAGCCUUAUGUUCUAAAUAUUUAUUUUAAUCGUAAGGCAACUCUGUUUAAGUAUACUCAAAGAUGUAAUGGCUUCUUCCGUUUUACUUUUUUACGAGUAGCCGAGGAGAAACCACGGAUAAAUAUUAAAACUCUCGCGCUCUCUCGCAAUCUCACUCACGCACGCACGCGUUUGUGUUUCUCUGAAUAAAGUGUUUUAAUAUA